CACGGGGGGAGCAAGCGUUGUUCGGAAUCACUGGGCGUAAAGGGUGUCUAGGCGGUCAGGUAAGUGAGAUGUGAAAUGCCCCGGCUUACCCGGGGACCGGCAUCUCAUACUGUCUGGCUUGAGUAUGGGAGAGGAUGAGGGAAUUCCUGGUGUAGCGGUGAAAUGCGUAGAUAUCAGGAGGAACACCGGUGGCGAAAGCGCUCAUCUGGCCCAAUACUGACGCUGAAGCACGAAAGCGUGGGGAGCGAACAGG
rnacentral:rRNA from 1 species